rnacentral:rRNA from 1 species
AAUAAACGCUGGCGGCGUGCCUAACACAUGCAAGUCGGACGAGAAAGGCUGAUUUUCGGAUUAGCCGAGUAAAGUGGCGCACGGGUGAGUAACGCGUAGGUAACCUACCCUUGUAUUUGGGAUAACAGGACGAAAGUUUUGCUAAUACCGGAUACGACCUGAGGGCGGAGGUUUUCAGGUGAAAGUCGGCCUCUUCGAGAAAGCUGACGUACAGGGAUGGGUCUGCGUCCUAUCAGCUAGUUGGUGGGGUAACGGCCUACCAAGGCGACGACGGGUAGCUGGUCUGAGAGGAUGAUCAGCCACACUGGCACUGGAACACGGGCCAGACUCCUACGGGAGGCAGCAGUGAGGAAUUUUGCGCAAUGGCCGCAAGGCUGACGCAGCAACGCCGCGUGGGUGAAGAAGGCCUUCGGGUCGUAAAGCCCUGUCAGGUGGGAAGAAAGGUUUCGUCAAGAAACGGAUGGAAUUUGACGGUACCACCAGAGGAAGCACCGGCUAACUCCGUGCCAGCAGCCGCGGUAAUACGGAGGGUGCGAGCGUUAUUCGGAAUUAUUGGGCGUAAAGCGCGAGUAGGCGGGGAUGCAAGUCUGAUGUGAAAGCCCUGGGCUUAACCUGGGAAGUGCAUUGGAAACUGCAUUUCUUGAGUACUGGAGAGGAAGGGGGAAUUCCCGGUGUAGAGGUGAAAUUCGUAGAGAUCGGGAGGAAUACCAGUGGCGUAGGCGCCUUUCUGGACGGUUACUGACGCUGAGACGCGAAAGCGUGGGGAGCAAACAGGAUUAGAUACCCUGGUAGUCCACGCUGUAAACGAUGAGCACUAGGUGUAGCGGGUACUCAUUCCUGCUGUGCCGUAGCUAACGCGUUAAGUGCUCCGCCUGGGGAGUACGUUCGCAAGGCUGAAACUCAAAGGAAUUGACGGGGGCCCGCACAAGCGGUGGAGUAUGUGGUUUAAUUCGAUGCAACGCGAAGAACCUUACCUGGGUUUGACAUCCC